AUUAUUAAAUUGUUGUUAGAUUUUUUAGAGUAGUAUUAGUUAUAUUCUUGAAACUUAAAAAAUUUGGCGGUAUUUUAGUCUUUUUAGAGGAAUCUGUUCUAUAAUCGAUAAUCCACGUUGAACCUUACUUAUUUUAUUAAUUUGUAUAUCGUUGUCAUUAGAAUAUUUUGUUAAAUAAAUAAAUUUCAAAUAUUUUAAUUAAAAUUUAUGUCAAAUCAAGGUGCAGUUUAUAAAUAAGAAGAAAUGGAUUACAAUAAGUUUAUUUAUUAAUGAAUAAUAUAAUGAAAUUUUAUAUUGAAGGCGGAUUUAAAAGUAAAAAUUAAUAGAUUAUAAUUUUGAUUUUAGCUCUAAAAUAUGCAC
rnacentral:rRNA from 1 species